UUAGUACGGCGAGUGAAGCGGCAAAAGCUCAAAUUUGAAAUCUGGUACCUUCGGUGCCCGAGUUGUAAUUUGGAGAGGGCAACUUUGGGGCCGUUCCUUGUCUAUGUUCCUUGGAACAGGACGUCAUAGAGGGUGAGAAUCCCGUGUGGCGAGGAGUGCGGUUCUUUGUAAAGUGCCUUCGAAGAGUCGAGUUGUUUGGGAAUGCAGCUCUAAGUGGGUGGUAAAUUCCAUCUAAAGCUAAAUAUUGGCGAGAGACCGAUAGCGAACAAGUACAGUGAUGGAAAGAUGAAAAGAACUUUGAAAAGAGAGUGAAAAAGUACGUGAAAUUGUUGAAAGGGAAGGGCAUUUGAUCAGACAUGGUGUUUUGUGCCCUCUGCUCCUUGUGGGUAGGGGAAUCUCGCAUUUCACUGGGCCAGCAUCAGUUUUGGUGGCAGGAUAAAUCCAUAGGAAUGUAGCUUGCCUCGGUAAGUAUUAUAGCCUGUGGGAAUACUGCCAGCUGGGACUGAGGACUGCGACGUAAGUCAAGGAUGCUGGCAUAAUGGUUAUAUGCCGCCCGUCUUGAACCCCGGACCAA
rnacentral:rRNA from 1 species